UACGUAGGGUGCAAGCGUUGUCCGGAAUUAUUGGGCGUAAAGAGCUCGUAGGCGGUCUGUUGCGUCGGCUGUGAAAACCCGGGGCUCAACCCCGGGCCUGCAGCCGAUACGGGCAGACUAGAGUUCGGCAGGGGAGACUGGAAUUCCUGGUGUAGCGGUGAAAUGCGCAGAUAUCAGGAGGAACACCCAUGGCGAAGGCAGCUCUCGUGGGACGGUACUGACGCUGAGACGCGAAAGCGUGGGGAGCGAACAGG
rnacentral:rRNA from 1 species